rnacentral:rRNA from 1 species
UACAGAGGUCUCAAGCGUUGUUCGGAUUCAUUGGGCGUAAAGGGUGCGUAGGCGGCGCGGUAAGUCGGGGGUGAAAUCUCGGAGCUUAACUCCGAAACUGCAUUCGAUACUGCCGUGCUUGAGGACUGGAGAGGAGACUGGAAUUUACGGUGUAGCGGUGAAAUGCGUAGAUAUCGUAAGGAAGACCGGUGGCGAAGGCUAGUCUCUGGACAGUCACUGACACUGAGGCACGAAGGCCAGGGGAGCAAUCGGG